ACUAGCUGCAACAUGCUGGUCCAUGUCCAGCUGCUGUGGCUGCUCUCAGCUCUCACAGAAUCUGAGGGCGCGGUGCAGCUGGUGGAGUCUGGAGGAGGAGUGAAAUACUCUGGGGGUCUCUGCUCCUCUCAUGCCAGGCCUCAGGGUUCAACUUUGAAGAAUACAAUAUGUACUGGUAUCGGGAGACUCCAGGAAAGUCCCUCGAGUUUGUCUCCAGCAUCAGUAAGGGGGAUGGGAGUGAUAAACUUUACGCAGAUGCAGUGAAGGGACGAUUCACCAUCUCCAGGGACAACACCAACAGCCGACUGUACCUGGAGAUGGACAGGCUGAGAGUGGAGGACACGGCCCGGUAUAUCUGUUACAGUGACAUUGAAGGGAAGGAGGGACAUCACCAACAGCUGGCUGAACCUGCGGAUGGACUGUCUGAGGAUGAUGAAAACCGCCCCAAAUAUCGGCGACUUCCACAGUGAGGGGAAGUGGGUGAGGGCCCAGACAUAAACCUCUCGACCCUUCCUGAAUCAAGUGCCCGGAAACUACCGUGGCUGCCAACACUGCUGCUGAACAACAGUGUGUGAGAGGAAGUGGUGUCUUGCUGUUGCUGGUCAGCACUCCAAAUAUCUUCCUUUUGGCCCAUCUGUCUCUAGAUAAGCCAUUAAAGUGUAUUUUUCUUUACUCAUUCUGCCAUCCCCGCUACCUCCUCUUCCCAGUCCCUGCCUCCCCCAAUCCCUGUGCCCACAGGCCUCCUGGCCCUGCUGCCAUCCUGUUCCUCCACCCCAGGACUCCAAACCUGCCCCUCCCACAUUUAUUUAAAACUGGUCUACCCUGCCCUUCCUCUGUCUCUGCUGUGCAUUUAUAGCUCAGGAGUCUUCCCUUGAAGCCAUGUGGUGGAGUGGGCAGGAGUAACAAUAAUAAUAAUAGUGGUAUUUGUUAUGGCCUUACUAUGUGCCAGGAACCAUACUAAGUG